GGAAUUGACGGGACCCCGCACAAGCGGUGGAUCAUGUUGUUUAAUUCGACGAUACGCGAAGAACCUUACCAGGUCUUGACAUCCCCUGCAAAGCUAUGGAGACAUAGUGGAGGUUAUCAGGGAGACAGGUGGUGCAUGGUUGUCGUCAGCUCGUGUCGUGAGAUGUUGGGUUAAGUCCCGCAACGAGCGCAACCCUUAUUGCUAGUUACCAUCAUUAAGUUGGGGACUCUAGCGAGACUGCCAGUGAUAAACUGGAGGAAGGUGGGGAUGACGUCAAAUCAUCAUGCCCCUUAUGACCUGGGCUACAAACGUGAUACAAUGGCUGAAACAAAGGGCAGCGAAGGAGCGAUCUGGAGCGAAACCCAAAAAGCAGUCUCAGUUCGGAUUGAAGUCUGCAACUCGACUUCAUGAAGUCGGAAUCGCUAGUAAUCGCGGAUCAGAACGCCGCGGUGAAUACGUUCUCGGGGUUU
rnacentral:rRNA from 1 species